GCCGAUAUAGCUCAGUUGGUAGAGCAGCGCAAUUCGUAAUGCGAAGGUCGUAGGUUCGACUCCUAUUAUCGGCACCA
rnacentral:tRNA from 1 species